UAGGGAAUAGUAUAAUUGGAAGUACUUGGGGUUUUGAUCUUCAAGGUGUGGGUUCAAGCCCCAUUUCUCUAG
rnacentral:tRNA from 1 species